rnacentral:rRNA from 1 species
AUUUAAAUACCUUAAGUAGUAAUACAGAUAAAACUAUUAUAAUAUGGCGGUUUCAUUAUUAUUAGAGAAACUCGCUUUAUAAUCGAUAAUUCCCGAUAAAUUUCACUUUUUAUAUAAAGUUUAUAUACCGCCGUUUAAAGAAUUUAUUAAAAAAUAAAACUCGCAAAUCAUUUAAAACGAAAAAAUCAGGUCAAGGUGUAAUCAAUUAAUAAGUACAAGUAAGUUACACUAAAAACAAUUUAAGGAAUAAUUAUAAAAAUAUAACCAAAAAAGAAUUUAUAAGUACAUUUAAAUUAAAAUUUAAAAUCGAAAAUAUAUAAAUGAAAUGU